ACUUAAAUAGCUUAUAAAGAGUAUGAUAUUGAAGAUAUCAAGGAAAUCAAUGAUUUUUAAGUA
rnacentral:tRNA from 1 species